UGAGCGAAGAAGCCCGUUUGGGGUGUAAAGCUCUGUCAGCUGGAACGAAAAAAAUGACGGUACCAACAGAGGAAGCAUCGGCUAACUACGUGC
rnacentral:rRNA from 1 species